AAGUCCAUAGUUCAGUGGUAGAGUGUGUGCUUGGCAUGCACGAGGUCCUGGGUUUGAGCCUCAGUAUUUA
rnacentral:tRNA from 1 species